GAUUGAGGGGAACUCUUUCAGAUUAAUCUGUGACGCUGCUGGCUCUGUCUUUACCAGAGAGUGGAGAAAGGGAGGCUUAGAUCUGACUCUGACUGUAAACAUGACCCUCACCAACAACAACAGAGAGCUGUCUUUUAGCAGUCUGAAUAAAGACGACACAGGAGAUUAUUCCUGUAUUAUCAGCAACCCCUUCAGCAGCGAGGAAGCAAAGUACUCCAUGAUUGUUAUCUAUGGACCAGAAACAGUUCAUAUCACAGGUCCAAGUCAGAUACAUGUUGGAGACACAUUUAAUUUAACCUGCUCGGCUGAAUCUGUUCCAACUGCCAAUUUACUUCUGGAUGCUGAAUGGGACAGAGAUACACAAUUCUGCUGUGAUUUAUAAAGACAACACUGAAUUAUCUGACAGUGGCAACUACUACUGUGUAGCGUGGAAUGAUAUAACCGGGAGAGGAUUAUUUGCGGUCCAUGAACUGACCGUAACACAUACAGUACCAUCAGGCUUGUCGGGUGGUGGCAUCGCUGGAAUAGUAAUCGCUGUUUUAGUCGUCCUCGGUGUUGUAGCUGCUAUUGUGUGGUACAUCAUUCAUAACAAAAAAAAACAACAACAAAGCACUAACACAAUCAGAAACAACAACAAAGCAGUGACACAAUCUGAUAUUAAAGAACUAGAAGAGGCUGUGUAUGAGAACACUUCAGCGAUAUACGAGAAUGAAUAGACUCAGCCAUCUUCUUUGUGCUAAAGGCCGUUCAGAGGAAGAAGAACUUCACAACAUAAAGACAAAGCGGCUCUGAAAUGUUAUCACAUUAUUAUUUUAAAUGCUUUUUCUAAUGUGUCAGCAAACACUACAUUUACAGUGCAGUAAUACCAUGAAUUUCACCUCUUAAAUGUAAACUAAACGACACAGUGAAACUAGUUUGAUAGUUAACCUUUAUGUUGUGUUCGGGUCUCCCGUGACCCGUUUCAAGUUAAAAUUAAUAAC